rnacentral:rRNA from 1 species
UACGAAGGGGGCUAGCGUUGCUCGGAAUUCCUGGGCGUAAAGCGCACGUAGGCGGAUCUUUAAGUCAGGGGUGAAAUCCUGGAGCUCAACUCCAGAACUGCCUUUGAUACUGAGGACCUUGAGUUCGGGAGAGGUGAGUGGAACUGCGAGUGUAGAGGUGAAAUUCGUAGAUAUUCGCAAGAACACCAGUGGCGAAGGCGGCUCACUGGCCCGAUACUGACGCUGAGGUGCGAAAGCGUGGGGAGCAAACAGG